UGAAUAAAAUAAAGAUUAUUUCACUGAGGAAAAUUUUCUUAACAUUUUAUCGCUUUAUAUAUAUUCAGAUCCAUGUACAUACUUUUUUUCAUUUAUUAAUAACAUAUUGUGAAUUAAUGUUUUAUAUCAUAUCGAAUUAAUACAGUACAGUAAAUUAUAAAUGGUCACAUUAAAGAAACUCCUCAAAACAUAUAAAAAUGAGAUUCGUGAAGUAUUAAAACUAAUUUUUAUAUACACUCUUUCUGAGUAUAUAUUUCUUUAAAGCAGUGCUUGCUUGUUAUAUUUAUGUGCUUACAAUCAUCAUGUUAAAAGUGUACAGAUAUGCAAAAAUGUAUUAAUGCUAGAUUAUUAAAAUCAAAAUAUAAUUCUAUUGCUUGAUAUAAUAUCGAUUGUUAAUUUUCAAUAUAACAUGCAUACCUACAUAACAAUUCUAUAAUUAAUUAAUAAGUAAUAUGCUUAAAUAUGUGAACUAUAUAUUCUAUUGACUAGAGAAAAAAGUCUUAUGUCUCUAUCUAACUGACAAUCCAUUCAUUUCAUUCAUGAUAAUAAUACUAACUUGUCAUCAUUGGAAUCAAUAAUAUUAAAUAAAUAUAAAUAAUUAAUAAGUAGUAAUUAUAAAUUUGUUAAAUCUAACUUUUUAACUUGAAAAAUGUUUAUAUGAAUAAAAUUCUAUCUUCAUAUACACAAUAGCUACUUAUUUCUGAAAAUUGACAAAAGGCAUUAGCCAUCAAUAUGUCAAAUGUGCAGAAUUGCUCUUCCUGUACACACAAUCAGAUUUUUUAUAACAUUUUUUUUAAAAGAAGAGAGGUCCUUAAUACUGAGUGCUAGGAAUGCUUAUUUUGUACAUUAAUAAAAUGUCCUGUACUUAAAUACAUGGACGGAAAACUUCCAUAAUUGCUUUAUAAGUGCAAUUAAACUUGCAGAUCAAUGAUAAUUGCUUAUAAGUAUAUAUUUUUAGUUUUCCUUUAACCAUGUCAUAAUAUCAUUGAAAAGGACGUGUGGCAGCUUUUUAAUUCCUGAUCGAUAUUUCUUCAUUUUUUAAAAAUGGUAAAAAAAGCGCUGCUACUGAACAUACAUCGAUUUACUACUACACAUAUCUUAUGUCAUUAUGGCUAUGAUUAGGAGCUUUUCAUCUCAAUUAUUUACAAUAUUCAAUUUUGUUUUCAUAUUUAUCAAUCAUUCUGCACACAGAGCAAUAUUUUCAAAAAAUUAAUUUCACUUUUUGUAGCUUAUUAUCGAGACAUACAAUUGUAGAAUAUUCUAUAGGAUUCACCACAUUUAAUCAGCAUUUAAUGUUUCUUUUUGAAAUUCGUUGGUAUUAUUUUGUUUCUCCACAUCUACAGAAUUUUCAGUUUCAAUAAGAUUAUGUAAUUCCUUGCACAGUGUUUCUUCACAGACCUCACCACUGAUCUCAGUAUUAUCAAUUAUUCCUUCAUAUUCAUUUGUUAUUUUACUAUCUACCACAUCUUUAAAUUCUGGCUCUACGAUUUCUUCACAGCUCUUGAACAUAUCUGGAUGUUCAUUGGAAUUAAGAAGUUCUUGAUUUUCAUUAGAAUUUAAAAUAUCUGUGUUUACUUCAUCAUCAGUUGUAUCGGUCGAUUGUGAUACUUUUUUAAGAACACUAUCUACUAAAUUAGAUGCAAAGCUUUUAUUUUCAUUUCCCUCGUGUAUUGUUUGAUGUAUUGGCAAAGAUUGAGGUCUGUUAGGUCUAGCAUAAGGAAAUGUAUUUUCUUCACCAGCAGGUGUAUGAACAGCUGAAAUUUCUGUUUGAGUUGCAACUCCAUUAUCAACAAGCAUUGAUUUUGGUUGCAUACUUGACAUACACCGUCUUAUUUCCGACAUUGAAUCUUGUAAUUGUUGUACCUAUACACACAUAUCCAAAUUAUUUUUUUAUUAUAUGUCAUAUGAAUUGAUAUUAAUAUUCGCAUAAUAUUAACUCACCUGAGUAUGUAAUAAAUUGCAUGUUUGUGCUAGAUUUGUUACAACAUCUGCAUUUGGUUGUAUAGUAGUUUCACUUUCAUUACUUGCAUUUUCACGACUACCUCCGGGCUGUAAGCUGACAACCUUUUUCCAUAGUGCAUUAAUAGCUUGCAUUUGUAACAAUUGUAGUUUAUGUUCACUUUCCAAUGCAGUUCUUGUUGCUUCCAUAUCAGUAGAUAAUUUUCUAGAAUAUCAAUGAUGUAUUCAAUGACGUAUUCAAUAAAUAUUUUUAUUUAAUGUAGAAACAAGUAAUAACUUACUGAAUAUAUUUAUUUGUUCUCAUCAUUUCAAUAGUUUUUAGUAUAGUAGUUGCUUUUUUAUUAAGAUUUCUAGUAUGAUAACCUCUCCACAUUCUUUGAAUACAAAUUGCUGCUUUCUCUGUACGAUCUUGAUCUUUAUUGCUAUCUUCUUGUCGUCUUUGAAUUGCUCUACUUCUAAUGCUAUCCAGUUUUGCUUGGCAUACUUCGCUAUCUUCGUCACUACUAAGUGCUACGUUAUCUCCAUCUCCAUCUUUUCCCCUUUUUAUUAAGCUAGAUUUAUUUCUGUCACAUGCACUUUUAGGUCUUUGUAUAUUUCUUCCUAGAUAGGGUGAACUUUUGGUGCUACGUUUUGCAGGUAAAGUUUUGCUCUGUACAUAAUUAUUAAUUUUCACACUGUGAGGACAUUUUCCAUUAGUAUUUGUAAUAAUAGGUUUGGCUAUGUUUGGUUUUCCAAUAGAGCAAUUUGUUGCAGAAUUACUCUUUACAAGUGCAUUUGCUUUCAAAGCACCAAGAUUCGUUUUUGCCAUAGGAUUUACUGUAUUUAUUAUAGGAAUUGCUUUUGCAUCACCAUCUGUAGAAGCUUUUGCAGGAAUAGUUACUUGGCAUGGUGAAUUUAAUUUACUUGGUGGAGUUUUAGGUAAAACUUUUGAUAAUCCAGAGGGCGGCCGAAAAUCUGGACUCAUUAAAGAUUCUGGAACUGGCACUAGUUUUGUAGCAGCUUGUAGAGGACUUGAUGUUUCUAUAAAUAAAAAAUUUUUUGCACAAUUUUAGCUUGAGCAAAUCAAAAAUAUUAUAUUUUAUUUUUAGUUUUACCUUCCAUAUCUUCUAAUCCAGAAUUAUUUGCUGUUUUAUUAUUCAAAGUAUUACAAAGCAUAUUUGGAUCUAAACUUUGUGUCAUCAAUGGUUCAUGAUCAUUAUUAAAUAAAGUAUGACAGGAAGAAACCAUAGCAUCUGUAUGGCAACUGGAAACCAUUCUAUCUGGUGAUCUCAUUCUUAUAGAGUUUCUUGAUGAAUCUAAUAAAAUGUAACAAUGUUAGGAAUGGAUAGUAUAAACUACAAAUAUAAUAAUACGUUCGGAUAAUAUACAGCUAGCAAUUGCUAGCAAAAGCGUGCAAAUGAAACCACCAUUAAUAAUUUAAGUUAACGUAUUAAAAUGAAACAAUGUAGAUGAAGUGUUGAAUUAUAUAAAAUAUUGAUCUUUAUAUUGUUAAAUGCACCUAGAUAGCUUAUAACAUUGUUCUUGCUUUCAUUCACCAAAUUUAUUUGCUCUAUAAGCCUAAAAAAGCAACUGCUUAAUAAGUACUAUGCUUGAAAGAUACAGAUGUGUGUAGGAUGAAAAAAUUAAAAAUGACUUAAUAUUAAAUAUUUUUUCAAAUUUAAUGCAUAAUAUUGAAUUUUUAUAUAGACAGUAAAUGUGAUGUUACUUCGUUGUAAAUUUUUUCUUGAAGUUAUAUUAAAUUUGUGCUGAAUAUUUGAAUCUAUCAAUACCUGAUCAUUUUAAAUAUAUUUGUAAAUACAAAUUAUUUCUAAUUUAUUACUUAUAUUCCUACACACAUGUACCACAUAACCAGAGAGAUAUAUAUAUAUGUAUAUAUAUUAAAAUCUGCUCUUUGACUUAGGGUACCUUUGCAAGGUGAAUGGCAGACACAGUAUUUUGCCUCAUAAAAUUUUGGUGAUUGUAAGCAUUUAUCUUCAUAGUAUGUCAACAUUGGUGUAACUAGAGAAAACAGAUUAUGACUAGGAUGUACGUACAUAUUAUUGCUAUUGCUGCAUUUUACUAUAAUAAAUUAAAAAUGGCCUUCUUGGAGAACUUGUCCUGUUAUGGUUAAGUCUACGUCUAGCAGCAGGAGAAGGAGUUACUCCGACGCUACUUAAGCUAUGUACACUUCCUGUGUCACUUUGCUGAUUGAGUUGCUGCUGGUGGUGUUGUGCUUUACUCAAAAUUAGCCUAAGUUUUCUGUCAGUUUCAUUCUCUAAAGAUUCCCCUGAAAGGGGACAGACAGAUGCUAAAUAUUGAGCAAGAAGCGCAUGCUCACCGACACGAAAUUGUCUGCCUCUUCCUUGAGAAUAUAGCCAUUCUGCUUUCAAACUAUGAUCCACUGCAUAACCAUCAAUUGACUUGAGACUCAUACACCAAUUGAUAACAAAUGGAUGAUAAUCAAAUCCACUAUAAACUAUGUGUUAAGAAGAAUAUACUAUUGACUUAAUACUAAAAGCAGCACUUAUGUUUCUUUUGCAUCUAGCAAUCUCAGAUAAUAUAUUAUAAUAAGUUUCAUGAAAAUUCUAACAAUUAUAAGUAAUAUCAAAAAAUAGGGUAUUUAAUUGCAUACAAAUAUAUUUAAUUCAUACUAAGUGUUGAUUAGUACAUAAGCAAGAAUUAUGCUACUAUCGAAAGGAUACAUACUAUUACCUGUUAUACUAACACAUGGAUUGUUAGCAAUUGAAAAGUUGAUCAAAUUUUUUAAAUUAGCUAAAUGAGACAUUUCAUUCAAAUCAGUAAUGCUGUUAUUUGCUAAUGUAAAUGUUUCUAAUGAGGUGGGUAAGUAGCGUUCACACUGUCGUAAUGUGAUUAUGCGAUUAUUAUGCAAGAAAAGUUCCUAAAACAUAACAGAUAUAAUAAGAACAGAAAAAUAAAAAUACAUGCAAAUGGCCAUGAUUAAAAAAGGUUUAAGACAUCAAGUAUUUAAAUUUUAUACCUUAAGAUUACGUAAAUACGAAAUAUCAGAAAUGUGGCUGAUACUAUUUUCAGAUAAAUCUAAAUGUUCCAACUUCGUAUUUGAAUGUAAAUGUUCAAUGGACUGAAACCAUUGUUUUAACAUUAUUAUACCAUUUAUAAAAUAUAUAUUUAUUCAACAUGAAGUUACUUACCUUUAUAUUAUUACCUGCUAAACACAAUGUUUGUAAGUUUAUCAUAUCUUUUAUUCCCUCUAUUGUUAAUAUACCAUUAUUAGCUAAAUUAAGGGUUACAAGAUUAUGUAAUUUUGAUACACCAUACAUUCGCAGUAAUUGGUUCCUUACUAUUGAAAGCUGAAAUUUAUUAAUUUAUUUUGUUAUGUUGCAUAUUUGAUAUUAAAUAUGAUUAAGAUAAAUUCAGAUUUACUAUACCAAAUAACAAAGCUUAUAGCAAGAUGGAUAUUAACAUAAUUAAAUUUAGUAUUAUUAUAAUGUUACUGUAUAAUGUAUUUAGUGUUAUUAUGACAGUUUGUUAAUACAAUA